UCCUCGGUGUCCACAGCACCCUCUUUCUUUCCUUCGCAGCGAUCCUACUGCCAGAAGUUCGCCAUGUCUAUUCUCAGGAUCCACGCCAGGGAGAGCUUUGACUCCCGUGGGAAUCCCACUGUUGAGGUCGAUCUGUACACCGCAAAAGGUCUCUUCCGAGCUGCGGUGCCCAGCGGUGCGUCCACUGGCAUCUACGAGGCCCUAGAACUCCGAGACAAUGAUAAGACCCGCUUCAUGGGGAAGGGUGUCUCACAGGCUGUUGAGCACAUCAAUAACACUAUUGUGCCUGCUCUGGUUAGCAAGAAAGUGAAUGUUGUGGAACAAGAGAAGAUUGACAAGCUGAUGAUCAAGAUGGACGGCACAGAGAAUAAAUCUAAAUUUGGUGCAAAUGCCAUCCUGGGAGUGUCCCUGACUGUCUGCAAAGCUGGUACCGUGGAAAAGGGGAUGCCCCUUUACCGCCACAUUGCUGACUUGGCCGGCAACCCUGAAGUCAUCCUGCCAGUCCCCGCUUUCAAUGUGAUCAACAGUGGUUCUCAUGCUGGCAACAAGCUGGCCAUGCAAGAGUUCAUGAUCCUGCCUGUGGGGGCAUCCAGCUUCCGGGAAGCCAUGCGCAUUGGAGCAGAGGUUUACCACAACCUGAAGAACGUGAUCAAGGAGAAGUACGGGAAGGACGCCACCAAUGUGGGUGAUGAGGGUGGAUUCGCACCUAACAUCCUGGAGAACAAAGAAGCACUGGAGCUGCUCAAGACUGCAAUCGCAAAGGCCGGCUACACUGACCAGGUUGUCAUCGGCAUGGAUGUGGCUGCCUCCGAGUUCUACAGGUCUGGCAAGUAUGACCUGGACAUCAAGUCUCCGGAUGACCCCAGCAGGUACAUCACGCCCGACCAGCUGGCUGACCUGUACAAGUCCUUCAUCCAGAACUACCCAGUGGUGUCCAUCGAAGAUCCCUUUGACCAAGACGACUGGGGCGCCUGACAGAAGUUCACGGCUAGUGCGGGCAUCCAGGUGGUGGGAGAUGACCUCACAGUUACCAACCCUAAACGGAUUGCCAAGGCCGCGAGCAAGAAGUCCUGCAACUGCCUCCUGCUCAAAGUGAACCAGAUCGGCUCCGUGACUGAGUCCCUGCAGGCGUGUAAGCUGGCCCAAUCCAAUGGCUGGGGCGUCAUGGUGUCCCACCGACCUGAGGAAACUGAGGACACUUUCAUCGCAGACCUGGUGGUGGGGCUCUGCACUGGGCAGAUCAAGACUGGUGCCCCUUGCCGAUCUGAGCGCCUGGCCAAGUACAAUCAGAAUCUUAGAAUCGAGGAAGAGCUGGGCAGCAAAGCCAAGUUUGCUGGCAGGUCCUUCAGGAACCCCCUGGCCAAGUAAAGCAUGGACUGGAGAU